rnacentral:rRNA from 1 species
GACAGAGGUCCCGACCGUUAGGCGGAAUCACUGGGCUUAAAGCGUGUGUAGGCGGCGGCCUAAGUACCUUGUGAAAUCCCACGGCUCACCCGUGGAACUGCUCGGUAUACUGGGUCGCUUGAGCCACUUAGGGGCUACCGGAACAAAUGGUGGAGCGGUGAAAUGCGUAGAUAUCAUUUGGAACGCCAAUGGUGAAAACAGGUAGCUGGGAGUGUGCUGACGCUGAGACACGAAAGCCAGGGGAGCAAACGGG